GUUCUCUGUAGGAGUUGAGGCAAUAUGGUAGGUGUUAAAUCUAUACUGUAAUAGGAUAGUUGAACACUGUAUGAGCUCAUUUAAGUUUAUUAAAUGUUAUAAGAGUUAAUUCUAUGAUGUAGGUGUUAAUUAAACUCUGUAGAAGGUGGUGAAAUAACACUGUAAUUCAAUACAGUAGGUGUGUAUGGAACUCAUAUACAUCAUAUACACUUAAACUGCCAAUAUAUAGGUAAAUGUAUUGUUUGCAGGCAUGUAAUAAUGUUAAUCACAGCAGCCGUAAUAUUUUUUAGUAAGUUUGAGGUGUUCGUGUUGAACUCAGCACUUCAGUUAAGGCUUAUGUAUCUUUCAUGGCCGCCAUGUUCAUUGAAGUGUGAGUUUAUACCCACUGUCACCUCCACCAGCCUCAGCCCCUUCCCUGAACAAAUAGCACCCAUUUGAGGAACAGAGGAAAUCAAUUUGCUUACUGGAAAAGUCCAUCUAAAACUUUUUUUAGCACUCAGGGCUUAACAAAGUGAAGGAAUUGCCAGUCACUGAGAUCACUGUGUGUGUGUGUGUGUGUGUGUGUGUGUGUGUGUGUGUGAGUGCGCGCAUGCAUGUGCGCGUGUGUGAGUGUGUGUGUGUGUGUGUGUGUGUGUGUGUGUGUGUGUGUGUGAUCAUAGAAUGUGGUUUGUGUUUUUUAUUCAACAGCAACAUUGUCGGUGGUUGUCCCUUCACUGGAAAACCCCAACUUUACCAUAAUUCACUCUGUUUCUUCACGCAGAGAGAGACUGUUAAUUUGUUCCUGCGACCCAAAGAGACAUUAGCAGUUUCACCAGAUGUCCUUGCAGUGACUGAGAAACUAAAGCAGGCACAACGAAUAAACUCAUCAUCCUUCAAGACAUCCUUCAAGACUGUUACACCAUAGUGUGAAAUGUCUGCACUUGUCUGUCAUCAGCUGCUAUAGCAAAAUAUUUGGACAGUCAAGAAACAGCUCAUAAAAACUCCUGCUUGCUGACACAAACGCUUCCAGGAAGUAGGAUGUGUACAGUAUAUCCGUUCUUAAGGUACGAGCAUGAGGAAAGUAAAGAGGAUAAAUAAAAGAGUUGAGGAGAAGUUGGAGACGAGAAGAAGAGGAGGUGUGUCAAGAAAAGUGGCUUACUGUGAGUGUUUCUCUGGCAGUGUCUUAGCUGGUUGUUGUGAGGAGUGAGAACGAAGCAAUCAGCAAGUAUACUGCCGCAGAAACUCGUCACCAUGCAAAGCCCGUCCAGUCGCAUUUGCAACACGUUCACCUAGAGAAAGAAGGAUCUCCAUCUUAUCCCAUCAGCCUCCAUUUCAGGACUGUUCAACACAGUGAUAUAUUUCUUAAUAUUUGCACUUCAAUUUCUCAUUUCUUGUGUAUUUGUAGUGUUUCGUUCUGUAACAUAUUAUUAUUUUGCAUUGUGUUCUGUCAUUUCUAUGAGUCUCUCUUGUAAUAAAAUCAGCUGAACCAUG